AUGAUGUGGAUUAAUUCGAUGCAACGCGAAAACCUUACCUACCCUUGACAUGUCCGGAAUCCCGAAGAGAUUUGGGAGUGCUCGCAAGAGAACCGGAACACAGGUGCUGCAUGGCUGUCGUCAGCUCGUGUCGUGAGAUGUUGGGUUAAGUCCCGCAACGAGCGCAACCCUUGUCAUUAGUUGCCAUCAUUUGGUUGGGCACUCUAAUGAGACUGCCGGUGACAAACCGGAGGAAGGUGGGGAUGACGUCAAGUCCUCAUGGCCCUUAUGGGUAGGGCUUCACACGUCAUACAAUGGCCGGUACAGAGGGUUGCCAACCGCGAGGGGGAGCUAAUCCCACAAAGCCGAUCGUAGUCCGGAUCGCAGUCUGCAACUCGACUGCGUGAAGUCGGAAUCGCUAGUAAUCGUGGAUCAGCAUGUCACGGUGAAUACGUUCCCGGGCCUU
rnacentral:rRNA from 1 species